rnacentral:misc_RNA from 1 species
UCGGAAUCCGAGGCUGAAGCAUCGCUUGACUAUUUAUUAAAUGAUGCUGACGAGGCAUUGAUCAGUGCCUUCCUUGUGUUGCUGAGAGCUAAAGGGGAGACUUAUGAAGAAGGUGUAUCAAGAUGUGUGAAUGAAGUGGGAAUUGGUUUGAAAGUUGAAGGGUUAGUUGAUGCAGUUGACAUUGUAGGAACUGGUGGGGAUGGAGCAAAUACUGUUAACAUUUCUACGGGGGCAUCAAUACU